CCUACGGGAGGCUGCAGUGGGGAAUAUUGCACAAUGGCGGAAACCCUGAUGCAGCGACGCCGCGUGAGUGAAGAAGUAAUUCGUUAUGUAACACUCUAUCAGCAGGGGAGAAAAUGACGGUACCUGAGUAAGAAGCCCCGGCUAACUACGUGCAAGCAGCCGCGGUAAUAAGUAGGGGGCAGGCGUUAUCCGGAUGUACUGGGGGUAAAGGGGGCGUAGACGGCAGUGCAAGUCUGGAGUGAAAGGCGGGGGCUCAACCCCCGGACUGCUCUUGAAACUGUACGGCUGGAGUGCAGGAGAGGUAAGUGGAAUUCGUGGUGUAGCGGUGAAAUGCGUAGAUAUUAGGAGGAACACCAGUGGCGAAGGCGGCUUACUGGACUGUAACUGACGUUGAGGCUCGAAAGCGUGGGGAGCAAACAGGAUUAGAUACCCCUGUAGUC
rnacentral:rRNA from 1 species